AUUGAACGCUGGCUGCAUGCCUUACACAUGCAAGUCGAACGGUAACAGGUCUUCGGAUGCUGACGAGUGGCGAACGGGUGAGUAAUACAUCGGAACGUGCCCAGACGUGGGGGAUAACGAGGCGAUAACUUUGCUAAUACCGCAUACGAUCUAAGGAUGAAAGCUGGGGACCGCCAGGCCUUGCGCGAUUGGAGCGGCCGAUGGCAGAUGAGGUCGUUGGUGCGAUAAAAGCUUACCAAGCCGGCGAUCUGUAGCUAGGCUGAGAUGACGACCAGCCACACCAGGAUGGAGACACGGCCCAGACCCCAACGGGAGGCAGCACAGGGGAAUUUUGGACAAGGGGCUAAAGCCUGACCCAGCAAUGCCGAGUGCAGUAUGAGGUGCUUGGGCUUGUAAUCUGAUUCUGUACGGAACGAAAAGGCACUGGCUAAUCCCUUGGGCACAUGCCGGUACCGUAUGAAUAAGCACCGGCUAACUACGUG
rnacentral:rRNA from 1 species